GCAGAUGUAGUUCAAUGGCAGAACUCAACCUUCCCAAGGUUGCUACGGGGGUUCGAUUCCCCUCAUCUGCUCCA
rnacentral:tRNA from 1 species